rnacentral:rRNA from 1 species
UACGGAGGGUGCAAGCGUUAUCCGGAUUCACUGGGUUUAAAGGGUGCGUAGGUGGGUCUGUAAGUCAGUGGUGAAAUCUCCGGGCUUAACCCGGAACUGCCAUUGAUACUAUAGGUCUUGAAUUAUCUGGAGGUAAGCGGAAUAUGUCAUGUAGCGGUGAAAUGCUUAGAUAAUGACAUAGAACACCAAUUGCGAAAGGCA